AAGUCGUAACAAGGUUUCCGUAGGUGAACCUGCGGAAGGAUCAUUAAAAAAUCUUCUGAGCCGCAAGGCUCUAUUAUUUUGUGAAGCGUUGUUUGUAGAGGUGGUUUGUGUUAUGUAUGAGUGAGCGAGUGAGUGAGUGUUGUUGGUAGUGCUUUUGGAGGAUGGCAAACUUGUUGUCCUGACAUACACUAGCAUUAUCAUCAUCAUCAUCCAUCAUGCAUAUGGUGGUUCUCACUUGCACCAUCCAUCCAUCAUGGCCUGCCCCUCUACGAUACAUACUUUUAAACAUAUGUCUUUGAUGCACAGGAAUAAAUAUAUCUUUAAUAUAUAUACAACUUUCAACAGUGGAUCUCUCGGCUCUU
rnacentral:misc_RNA from 1 species